UACGGAGGGGGGCUAGCGUUGUUCGGAAUUACUGGGCGUAAAGCGCACGUAGGCGGCUUUGUAAAGUUAGAGGUGAAAAGCCCGGGGCUCAACUCCGGAAUUGCCUUUAAGACUGCAUCGCUAGAAUUGUGGAGAGGUAAGUGGAAUUCCGAGUGUAGAGGUGAAAUUCGUAGAUAUUCGGAAGAACACCAGUGGCGAAGGCGACUUACUGGACACAUAUUGACGCUGAGGUGCGAAAGCGUGGGGAGCAAACAGG
rnacentral:rRNA from 1 species